AUGGAGCCCAACUCACUCCAGUGGGUCGGCUCACCGUGUGGUUUGCACGGACCUUACAUUUUCUACAAGGCUUUUCAAUUCCACCUUGAAGGCAAACCAAGAAUUUUGUCCCUUGGCGACUUUUUCUUUGUAAGAUGUACGCCAAAGGAUCCGAUUUGCAUAGCGGAGCUCCAGCUGUUGUGGGAAGAAAGGACCAGCCGGCAACUUUUAUCCAGCUCUAAACUUUAUUUCCUCCCCGAAGACACACCCCAGGGCAGAAAUAGCGACCAUGGCGAGGAUGAAGUCAUUGCUGUUUCCGAAAAGGUGAUCGUGAAGCUUGAAGACCUGGUCAAGUGGGUCCAUUCUGACUUCUCCAAGUGGAGAUGUGGUCUACGAGCUGGGCCAGUGAAAGCAGAGGCAUUGGGAAGAAAUGGACAGCGAGAGGCUCUG